UACAGAGGUCCCAAGCGUUGUUCGGAUUCACUGGGCGUAAAGGGCGCGCAGGCGGUCCUUCAAGUCAGAUGUGAAAGCCCCGGGCUCAACCUGGGAACAGCAUUUGAGACUGGAGGACUUGAGGACGGGAGAGGAGAGUGGAAUUCCCAGUGUAGAGGUGAAAUUCGUAGAUAUUGGGAAGAACACCGGUGGCGAAGGCGGCUCACUGGCUCAUAUCUGACGCUCAGGCGCGACAGCGUGGGGAGCAAACAGG
rnacentral:rRNA from 1 species